rnacentral:rRNA from 1 species
UUGGUGCGGUAAUUCCAGCUCCAAUAGCGUAUAUUAAAGUUGUUGCAGUUAAAACGCUCGUAGUCGGAUUUCGGGGCGGGGCCGCCGGUCUGCCGAUAGGUAUGCACUGGCGGGCGCGUCCUUUUUGCCGGAGACGGGAUGUACUCUUUGAAAAAAUCAGAGUGUUUCAAGCAGGCAGUCGCUCUUGCAUGGAUUAGCAUGGGAUAAUGAAAUAGGACUCUGGUGCUAUUUUGUUGGUUUCGAGCACCGGAGUAAUGAUUAACAGGGACAGUCAGGGGCACUCGUAUUCCGCCGAGAGAGGUGAAAUUCUUAGACCAGCGGAAGACGAACCACUGCGAAAGCAUUUGCCAGGGAUGUUUUCACUGAUC